CCUACGGGGUGCUGCAGUCGAGACUCAUUCACAAUGGGGGAAACCCUGAUGGUGCGACUCCGCGUGGGGGAAUGAAGGUCUUCGGAUUGUAAACCCCUGUCAUGUGGGCGCAAAUUAAAAAGAUAGUACCACAAGAGGAAGAGACGGCUAACUCUGUGCCAGCAGCCGCGGUAAUACAGAGGUCUCACGCGGUGUUCGGAAUCACUGGGCGUAAAGCGUGCGUAGGCUGUUUCGUAAGUCGUGUGUGAAAGGCGCGGGCUCAACCAGAGGACGGCACAUGAUACUGCUAGACUAGAGUAAUGGAGGGGGAACCGGAAGUCGUGGUGUAGCAGUGAAAUGCGUAGAUAUCGAGAGGAAAACUCGGGGCGAAGGCGGGUUCCUGGACAUUAACUGACGCUGAGGCACGAAGGCCAGGGGAGCGAAAGGGAUUAGAUACCCGAGUAGUC
rnacentral:rRNA from 1 species